CAAGGCAGAGAACGCCAGGCAAGCAUCAGGCCAGACGAGUUUAUCCUGAGAGCCCAGCCGCACACUGGCAGGGGUGAUUGGGGAACCAUUUAAAACUCUGGAAGGUGUUAUUUGCACCAAGCACACUGCAUGCCUGAAAGAAAGUGUCGUCAUUUCCUAGGACCAGUGAGAAAUGCAGUCUUCUGUCUCUGCUUCAUCUUGUCCAUGGCAGUAAGGCAAAACAUACAGAAGCCAAUCCACAGUGAGCGGACCCUUGGGUCUCAGCUGCCAAUUGACCUGGAUUUUAGAGUGGACUUAAUUUGCUGUGUGGCCUUUGGAAAACCAUGUAGCAUCUCUGAGCUACUAUUUUGUUUGUUUUUCGUUUGUGCCAAAUCAUUCCUGAGGCCUCCUCCUGCCGCUGCGGGUGCUGCAAUUUGACACAGGCAUUGACCAAAUCAUAAAUGCCCAGUUAAUGGGAUAAAAAUGAGUUUGAAUCUGGGAUCCUGGUCAUUAACCCCAUGUCACCAUCUGCUAGAACAGUAUGAGGGCAGGGCCAGGUGGACUGAGAAUUACCCAGCAGUUGUUAAACAUGCAGAUUACUGCCCCAGCCCCUCAUUACCACCACUCUCCCCAGCUCAGACUCUCUAGGGAUGGGCCUGGCAAAGCCGCCUUCCUAGUGACUUUGCUGGAGGGAAGGCGGUUGCAGAGCUCACCAAGACCAGACAGCUCCCACAGCUCUGUCUGUUCAUCAGGGCUGCCGAGCUGGCUUAUAGAGUUUUGAGGUACAUUUCCCUCUACUUGGACAGAAUCCUCUGCGGCUGGCUUCCUCUACCCGCACCUUCACCGCACUCGCUACUCCUUUGCUGCCUUCUUUCUUCUCAGUACUAAUCAUUUGUGGCACAGCAUCUCUUUUCCUCCGGAAGUAUCCGCUCUCCUACUGGAAUAUAAGCCUGUCCUCCUUCCCCGCCCAGGGGACAGAGAAUCUGCCUAGCUGGUGAGAAGUUAUGUUCCCAGCAAGAGCCGAUGCACGAAUUCAUGAAUAAAUGAGCAUGUGGAUAAAUUUGCUCCUCCCCGAUGUUGAGGUUGCUUUCCUGAGAGGUGAGAAUGAAGCCCCAGGGGCCUGCCCUGAACCCCAUU